rnacentral:misc_RNA from 1 species
UUCACUAUUGUAUAGUACUCAGACAUAGCAGGAGACACGGGUUAGGGUCCUCUAGCGGGCACUCAGCAGCCGAGGCCGCUGGCGCGGGGCGGCCCGCUAAGGCAACAGGGUAAUUUAUUCAAGGGUGGACUCCAGUCGGUCGCUACCGCGCGGCUCUCGCCGCGCCGCAGGAUCGUGUCCUGGCUCCAGUAAUGAUCCUUCCGCAGGUUCACCUACGGAAA